rnacentral:tRNA from 2 species
GGAACCGUGCCUGAAAUAAAGGAUCACUUUGAUGUAGUGAAACAUAUGGGUUUAAAUCCCUUCGGCUCCU